UGGAAAGGAGGCAAAACACAAGUUACCACUAGCUUAAUUUACCGGAGCUUGACGAUAGCAGCGUUUAGCUGUCAAAAGCAAAAAGUAUCAAUAAAGUUAAGUUGAAUAUCUACCGUUAACAGCGUAGUAGGCGACCGAUGGAUCUAACAUUGAGGGGAGCUAAAUAUUAACUUAGAAUUAAUGUUAUACGAAUAAUAGGAUCGACUAAUUAAAUAAAUAAAAAUAACAAUCAAUAAUAAUAAUAACAAUAAUAAUAAUAAUAAAAAAAACUCUCCUCUUCUUCUGUGGUUAAUUGGACACCCGCGGAUAUGUGAAACGGAAAUCACAGAAGGAACCGUAGAAGAAGACAAGGCGAAGAGCCUAAAGAUAUCAUGGGGUGCUUUGGAUUGGUAGCGCUGUAUCACUCCCGAUGGGCAGAUAGGACCAUGUUCGACAGCCUUGGAGCCAUCGAUGCCUGAGUGGAAACGUCUGACGCACAAAAGACAAGCCGUCUGCCUGAAGAGCUCCAUGGAGAGGUGGAGUGAAGUGAGGAUAAAGUACGACAGCUAUCACUAUGAAGGAGACUACCUCAACGAAAAGGUUACUCAUAUGACACAAAAUAAAGUGCUAUUCUCGUAAUUACAGGAAGAUACGCUUAUUUCUCACAGUCUCUAAAGGCUUUCACAUAUAUUGAAAUGUCGAGUAAAGAAGGAUCAGAAAAAGCUAGAUCUCUGGGCUCUGAAAGAAGUCGUGAGCUGACAACAAUCUGCGAUGCAUUCUGUGCUUCAAUCCUACAUUUGUGUCCUCUCACCGGAACAAGACGUCUUUUCUAAGAAAUGCUUCAAAUAUGUUUAAUAAGUAAUGGAUGAAUCGAUUACCUACAAGAAAAAAAAAA